GGUCACCCUGGAGGUGGCCUGCGACCUGGCGCCGAUGGAGGUGGUGAAGUCCGGCGGCUCGGUCCCGCCGGUGUCCCCC
rnacentral:tRNA from 1 species